UGUCUUUCGCAUAGAUUGGGAAAUCUGAGUUCAUGAACUCCAGCUCAGAGAAAUGGACAAAUGUUGCUGGCUGAGCUGCAGGGCCCUGUGAAAUCAGCUGAGUUACCUUGGAGCUCAGGACGAAAGAAAAAGUGCUUUCUGUCAGCUAACCUGAAUUCCAAGUAGCAGGUACCCAACUGUCUCUGAUGACGUCAAAAAGAGGCUCCCUGAGGAGGAAGGGACACUGCAUUCCAAGUGCUGGAAUAGGAGAAAAUGACAGAUGAAGGGCGAGAUGACACGUCAACAGAAGGCAUCACUGGCCUUGCUGCUUCCACUGGGCGGGACAGGGUGAGAGCGGUGGACAUGGAGGCAGCCCAGCUGCCUUUCACCUUCCAUGAUCUUGGGAAACAGGAAAAUUAAACA